UCCGUAGGCGGUUUAAUAAGUCAGUGGUGAAAGCCCAUCGCUCAACGGUGGAACGGCCAUUGAUACUGUUAGACUUGAAUUAUUAGGAAGUAACUAGAAUAUGUAGUGUAGCGGUGAAAUGCGCAGAUAUCAGGAGGAACACCGAUGGCGAAGGCAGGUCUCUGGGCAGUUACUGACGCUGAGGAGCGAAAGCAUGGGUAGCGAACA
rnacentral:rRNA from 1 species